CGUAGGUGAACCUACGGAAG
rnacentral:rRNA from 1 species